UACGUAGGGCGCAAGCGUUGUCCGGAAUUAUUGGGCGUAAAGAGCUCGUAGGCGGCUUGUCGCGUCGACUGUGAAAUCCCGCGGCUCAACCGCGGGUCUGCAGUCGAUACGGGCAGGCUAGAGUUCGGUAGGGGAGACUGGAAUUCCUGGUGUAGCGGUGAAAUGCGCAGAUAUCAGGAGGAACACCGGUGGCGAAGGCGGGUCUCUGGGCCGAUACUGACGCUGAGGAGCGAAAGCGUGGGGAGCGAACAGG
rnacentral:rRNA from 1 species